GGUCUGUUCGCCUGGUUGGUUAACUGGCAUCCCGACUUGUCGGGAGCGGAUGAGUUCGAUCCUCAUACAGACUACCA
rnacentral:tRNA from 1 species